AGAAGUGUCAUUGAUGUUUCUUUACUUGCUGCUAUAGCUGCUCUUGUCUCCUUGGGAGAUCAGCCUCUUACUGAAACGGUUAUACAUGAUAUCCCAGUUGCCAUUACCUUUGGAUUCUUUGCUGAUGGAGGGCCAGUAGUCGUGGAUCCAAGCGAACGAGAGGAAGCUCUUAUAAAGA